AUUGAACGCUGGCGGCAUGCCUUACACAUGCAAGUCGAACGGUAACAGGUCUUCGGAUGCUGACGAGUGGCGAACGGGUGAGUAAUACAUCGGAACGUGCCUAGCAGUGGGGGAUAACUACUCGAAAGAGUGGCUAAUACCGCGUGAGAUCUACGGAUGAAAGCAGGGGAUCGCAAGGCCUUGUGCUACUAGAGCGGCCGAUGGCAGAUUAGGUAGUUGGUGGGAUAAAAGCUUACCAAGCCGACGAUCUGUAGCUGGUCUGAGAGGACGAUCAGCCACACUGGGGCUGAGACACGGCCCAGACUCCUACGGGAGGCAGCAGUGGGGAAUUUUGGACAAUGGGCGAAAGCCUGAUCCAGCAAUGCCGCGUGCAGGAUGAAGGCCUUCGGGUUGUAAACUGCUUUUGUACGGAACGAAAAGCCCCGGGUUAAUACCCUGGGGUCAUGACGGUACCGUAAGAAUAAGCACCGGCUAACUACGUGCCAGCCGCCGCAGUAA
rnacentral:rRNA from 1 species